AGAAGUUGAGUGUCCCUUCUGUUUUCAUAAGAUCUGCUUCCACAUCUCAUAUGCAAAGAUUAAGAGGCUUACACAGAUGUAAGCUGUUGGGGAGAGAUGAAGGUUUUCAUGAAGGUGUUGUUCAACUGAUGAGAAUUGCUGAGCAUAUACUCCAGCUGUGUGUUGAACAUCAGUACUAGGCAGUAUGGUCACUUCAUCUGGGAUCUUCCGGAUUUGCUGCAGCUUCCUAGAAAGGAUCAUAUUCAACUUACAAUUCCACCUGCAGUUGCCCUGUGUGAUCAAGCUACCAAAUGAAAAAAAACAAAUGAUGGACCUGUAUGAGACUGUGAUCAAGCCAGGUCAGCUCAACCCAGACACAAUGGAGGCAAAUUACAGCACAGGCAGGCUGGGAGCAACCACCAGAAGAGCUGGAAAAGGCAAAGUAGUUUCCAGUGCUUUGAACUUAGGGAUUUGUCUCUUACAUGGCAGUGUACGUCAAAUGAAAGUCUGCCUAGACAAGAACUGUGGGGUUGUGAUCCCAUCUGAGGAGAUUUCAAGUUACAGAGCUGUGUUGACUUGCUGCGGAAAAAGCUGAAGAAUUGUUUUAAAAAUAAUUAUAGGAGAAGAUAGCUCCAUUGUAUGCUAGAACUGGACCUACUAAACUGCAGCAAUGGUUUGUGGAAGCUUCUGAUUUCCCUCCCUCUAAUGUAAUCCUUGAGCAGUCAAAUAGUUAUGUAGUACAAAAGAUGUAAAGCACAUCAUUUUUGAAAAUCUUAAAAAAAAAAAAAAAAAAGUGAGAACAACAUGUAAUUGAAAUGUAACAGCACUUACAAUGAAUGUGCAAUUACAUAUAUUUAGAUGCAUAUUUGUACAAUUUGUAAGUGUGUAUCUGAUGGUUACCCUGGGAGUUUUUUGUAUAAAAAUCAUGUUUUAUUCAUAUAUACCAGAAGUGUCAAUUGCUAGGUUUUCUGUAACUGUCUGCAACACUGAUUGUUACUAUAUACUGUAACAACUUAACAUAGAUUGCCUUAUUUAAAGACUUCCAUUAUUUUGCUGGUAAAAACAAAAUAUUAUUUAAUGGCAUGUCCUUUUUGCAUGCUUGUGUGCUGAUAACUGCCUAGCAGAUUAUAUGAGUCUUACAAUGUCAAGCAGAAUUGCUUGAGAUGUGUGUAUUAAUACUGAGGCAUUUUUCAGUCACAGCUUCAGGUUGGGUAUUCUAGUUACUGAGUACAGGAAGGAAUUUUAAACACAACUCAGCAGGCAACGAUUAAUUAAAUUUUGCUUGUCUGAACUGUUAUAUUCUUGUUCUUAGCUGCCAAACAUUGAGAUUUCCCCCUGUAUUUCAUUAGUUGUUUCCCAGUCCCUUGGGCUUAUCCAUAUAUCUGAUAUACUUCUCUGAGUUUUUCAAACGUAUUGAUAGUGGCUACUUAAUUUGGUCUUACUGGCUGAUGCAGUUUUGGUGGAGUCAGAAUAAAUUCCUUUUGCUGACAAGACUUUCA
rnacentral:lncRNA from 1 species